rfam:Strongylocentrotus purpuratus Contig29818_fixed, whole genome shotgun sequence.
GGGGGCAUAGCUCAGUGGCAGAGCAGCCGACUUAUAAUCGUAAGGUCCCGGGUUCGAUCCCCGGUGCCUCCA